rnacentral:lncRNA from 1 species
UCUCUACUUUUGUAUAGUUCAGGAAAGGAAGAAUGAUACAAUUAUGAGAGUAGCUUAUGUAGUAGUUUGCAGAAAAGCACACAAAAGAGUAAGUGCUAUAUGAUACAAGGGAGCUUUGUCCUCAUUUACACUGAAGCCUAGGCUCUGCUUUGAUGCUUUCAUGUUUGUUGGAGAAAAUCCACACACCUGCUUUUGCACGUACAAGUCAAUGGAGAAUCAGAGCAGAGUUCCAUGUGGGUCACAGUUUGGGUAUCUAUGACGGAAGAUUUUCUUGAAAAUAUUGAAGGCAGUUUACUUUCAUCGGA